GCUUGUUUAGCUUAGUUGGUAGAGCGCAAGGCUCUUAACUUUGUGGUUGUGGGUUCAAUUCCCACGGUGAGCA
rnacentral:tRNA from 1 species